UACGUAGGGGGCAAGCGUUAUCCGGAUUUACUGGGUGUAAAGGGAGCGCAGACGGAACUGCAAGUCUGAUGUGAAAGCCCGGGGCUCAACCGCGGGACUGCAUCGGAUACUGUGGAUCUGGAGUGUCGGAGAGGUAAGCGGAAUUCCUAGUGUAGCGGUGAAAUGCGUAGAUAUUAGGAGGAACACCGGUGGCGAAGGCGGCUUACUGGACGAUGACUGACGUUGAGGCUCGAAAGCGUGGGGAGCAAACAGGAUUAGAUACCCCUGUA
rnacentral:rRNA from 1 species